GGGGAAUUUUCCGCAAUGGGGGAAACCCUGACGCAGCAACGCCGCGUGAUUGAUGAAGCUUCUAGGAGCGUAAAGAUCUGUCGUGAGGGAAGAAAGAUUCGGAGGUAAAUAAUUUUCGUUUUUGACGGUACCUCGCAAGAAAGCACCGGCUAACUUCGUGCCAGCAGCCGCGGUAAUACGAGGGGUGCUAGCGUUGUCCGGAAUCAUUGGGCGUAAAGGGUCCGUAGGCGGUCUAACAAGUCAAUUGUUAAAUACAUCGGCUUAACCGAUGAAAUGCGAUUGAAACUGUUAGAAUAGAGUUUAGGAGAGGAAAGUGGAAUUUCUGGUGUAGCGGUGACAUGCGUAGAUAUCAGAAGGAACACCAAUGGCGAAGGCAACUUUCUGGCCUAAAACUGACGCUGAGGGACGAAAGCGUGGGGAGCGAACAGGAUUAGAUACCCUGGUAGUCCACGCCGUAAACGAUGAGUAUUUGUUGUCGGGGGAUUCGACCCCUUCGGUAGCGGAGUUAACGCGUUAAAUACUCCGCCUGGGUACUACGACCGCAAGGUCGAAACUCAAAGGAAUUGACGGGGACCCGCACAAGCGGUGGAACAUGUGGUUUAAUUCGAUGCAACGCGAAGAACCUUACCUGGGUUUGACAUGUCACGAAAGCUCUACGAAAGUAGAGCCCUCUGCGAGCUUGCUCAAAGACGUGAUCACAGGUGAUGCAUGGCUUCUCAGCUC
rnacentral:rRNA from 1 species